rnacentral:rRNA from 1 species
AAGCUGACGCAUUACGCCGCGUGCGGGAUGAAGGCCUUCGGGCUGUAAACCGCUUUCAGCAGGAACGAAAAUGACGGUACCUGCAGAAGAAGGAGCGGCCAACUACGUGCCAGCAGCCGCGGUGACACGUAGGCUCCAAGCGUUGUCCGGAUUUAUUGGGCGUAAAGAGCUCGUAGGCGGUUGAGUAAGUCGGGUGUGAAAACUCUGGGCUUAACCCGGAGACGCCAUCCGAUACUGCUCUGACUUGAGUUCAGGAGGGGAGUGGGGAAUUCCUAGUGUAGCGGUGAAAUGCGCAGAUAUUAGGAGGAACACCGGUGGCGAAGGCGCCACUCUGGACUGAAACUGACGCUGAGGAGCGAAAGCAUGGGUAGCAAACAGGAUUAGAUACCCUGGUAGUCCAUGCCGUAAACGGUGGGCACUAGGUGUGGGUUCCAACUAACGGGAUCCGCGCCGUCGCUAACGCAUUAAGUGCCCCGACUGGGGAGUACGGUCGCAAGACUAAAAAUCACAGGAAUUGACGGGGGCCCGCAC